AAAAGAAGAUAUUUUGACAAACGUUGAGGUCCAACAACAUUGGAUGUUCAUUUGUUAAGGUCAAACAAGUUAGGAACGACAUGAGUGGGAGUCAUCUUCAUCUAGAGUGCAUAUCUUCAUCUAGAAGAGAGUUCAGAUCUCUGAGUCAUCAAAACGGAGCGCCAGCAUUGUGAUUGAACUGUACAAAAACAGGAUUCUGGGCGUAUAUCCAAAGGGCGGGGAAAAUACAGAAGAUGGGGAGAGCAAGUGCCUUUCAAACAAUAAUCUGCGCGGGAAAGAGAGGACAAGAGACAUGGGGGAUGGGUCUGCGAGUCUUUUAUCUCAAGUUUCCCACAUCCUGCCGCCGAGUUUAAAACCGGCCACCCAGUUUGAAAGAAUGCCUGGUAUGCACCUCAUUUCCAUAGCGCCCGGCAUUGUUCUCGGCCUGUUGCCCGCCAAUAGGAGAAACAAAAAACUUUGCGCGCUAAUUUGAGAUUAAUGAGGUAAUGCAGUGCAUGCGGUCUUCAUAUGCACUUUGUAGACCUACUUCACAUGACUGGAACAAAAACAAAAGUGCUGUCCAUUGGGAUGAUGACGCAUUUUAUGUACAGAAAAGGAAAACGUGGCUUGCAUUACACUGCAGAAUACUUUUUACAUGUUGUUUCUUCCUCUUUGAACAUGUGA